rnacentral:tRNA from 1 species
GGCCCUGUAGCUCAGUUGGUUAGAGCGGCCGGCUCAUAACCGGUAGGUCCUAGGUUCAAGUCCUAGUGGGGCCACCA